rnacentral:tRNA from 1 species
AGAAAGAAAAAUUGUGGCUGCUAACUACAAUAAGGGUUACUAUAAUCCACUUUCUC